rnacentral:rRNA from 1 species
AAAUUGAAGAGUUUGAUCAUGGCUCAGAUUGAACGCUGGCGGCAGGCCUAACACAUGCAAGUCGAACGGUAACAGGAAGCAGCUUGCUGCUUCGCUGACGAGUGGCGGACGGGUGAGUAAUGUCUGGGAAACUGCCUGAUGGAGGGGGAUAACUACUGGAAACGGUGGCUAAUACCGCAUAACGUCGCAAGACCAAAGAGGGGGACCUUCGGGCCUCUUGCCAUCAGAUGUGCCCAGAUGGGAUUAGCUUGUUGGUGAGGUAACGGCUCACCAAGGCGACGAUCCCUAGCUGGUCUGAGAGGAUGACCAGCCACACUGGAACUGAGACACGGUCCAGACUCCUACGGGAGGCAGCAGUGGGGAAUAUUGCACAAUGGGCGCAAGCCUGAUGCAGCCAUGCCGCGUGUAUGAAGAAGGCCUUCGGGUUGUAAAGUACUUUCAGCGGGGAGGAAGGUGUUGUGGUUAAUAACCACAGCAAUUGACGUUACCCGCAGAAGAAGCACCGGCUAACUCCGUGCCAGCAGCCGCGGUAAUACGGAGGGUGCAAGCGUUAAUCGGAAUUACUGGGCGUAAAGCGCACGCAGGCGGUCUGUCAAGUCGGAUGUGAAAUCCCCGGGCUCAACCUGGGAACUGCAUUCGAAACUGGCAGGCUUGAGUCUUGUAGAGGGGGGUAGAAUUCCAGGUGUAGCGGUGAAAUGCGUAGAGAUCUGGAGGAAUACCGGUGGCGAAGGCGGCCCCCUGGACAAAGACUGACGCUCAGGUGCGAAAGCGUGGGGAGCAAACAGGAUUAGAUACCCUGGUAGUCCACGCCGUAAACGAUGUCUACUUGGAGGUUGUGCCCUUGAGGCGUGGCUUCCGGAGCUAACGCGUUAAGUAGACCGCCUGGGGAGUACGGCCGCAAGGUUAAAACUCAAAUGAAUUGACGGGGCCCGCACAAGCGGUGGAGCAUGUGGUUUAAUUCGAUGCAACGCGAAGAACCUUACCUGGUCUUGACAUCCACGGAAGUUUUCAGAGAUGAGAAUGUGCCUUCGGGAACCGUGAGACAGGUGCUGCAUGGCUGUCGUCAGCUCGUGUUGUGAAAUGUUGGGUUAAGUCCCGCAACGAGCGCAACCCUUAUCCUUUGUUGCCAGCGAUUAGGUCGGGAACUCAAAGGAGACUGCCAGUGAUAAACUGGAGGAAGGUGGGGAUGACGUCAAGUCAUCAUGGCCCUUACGACCAGGGCUACACACGUGCUACAAUGGCGCAUACAAAGAGAAGCGACCUCGCGAGAGCAAGCGGACCUCAUAAAGUGCGUCGUAGUCCGGAUUGGAGUCUGCAACUCGACUCCAUGAAGUCGGAAUCGCUAGUAAUCGUGGAUCAGAAUGCCACGGUGAAUACGUUCCCGGGCCUUGUACACACCGCCCGUCACACCAUGGGAGUGGGUUGCAAAAGAAGUAGGUAGCUUAACCUUCGGGAGGGCGCUUACCACUUUGUGAUUCAUGACUGGGGUGAAGUCGUAACAAGGUAACCGUAGGGGAACCUGCGGUUGGAUCACCUCCUUACCUGAAAGAAGC